UACGGAGGGUGCGAGCGUUGUCCGGAAUCACUGGGCGUAAAGGGCGCGUAGGCGGCUCAUGAAGGCUGUGGUGAAAGUCCGGGGCUCAACCUCGGAUCGGCCGUGGCGACUCGUGGGCUGGAGCACUGUAGAGGCGGGUGGAAUUCCCGGUGUAGUGGUGAAAUGCGUAGAUAUCGGGAGGAACACCAGUGGCGAAGGCGACUAUCUGGGCUGCAACUGAGCUGAGGCGCGAAGGCUAGGGUAGCAAACAGG
rnacentral:rRNA from 1 species